rnacentral:rRNA from 1 species
UACAGAGGGUGCAAGUGUUGUUCGGAAUUAUUGGGCGUAAAGGGCGCGUAGGCGGUCAAGUAAGUUGGAUGUGAAAUCCCUGGGCUUAACCCAGGAACUGCAUUCAAAACUGCUUGGCUAGAGUUCGGUAGAGGGCAGUGGAAUUCCCGGUGUAGAGGUGAAAUUCGUAGAGAUCGGGAGGAACACCAGUGGCGAGAGCGGCUGCCUGGGCCGACACUGACGCUGAGGCGCGAGAGCGUGGGUAGCAAACAGG